UCAUUCUGCUGCGAUUGUUUGUCCGGGCGGGUCGGCAUAAUGGAUGAGACAGAGCUAGAGUCCAAUUAAGGAUUAGCUGUGCACAGCUAGCUACUGAAGCCAGCCGGCUCAUCGGGCUUCAAGAGACAGAUUGGUUUCAUGGAAGAACACGGCGACUCUUUACCACUUUGACAGCGAUUCAGUGAAACUUUGCCCGCUAAUGGAAUGUGUGCGGCUACUCUCACUGGUGUGCAUUUCUCUUGGCUGAACUCCGGUUUCUGUGCAGCAGUGCCGAGUGGGACCGGGACGCUGGCGUUGCUGGUGAACAGUACCGGGGCACUGGACAGGAUCUCAGCAGGCAUCAAGCCGGGCGACACCGGGCCAAGCAAGCGCCGCCCUGGGACACGCCCCUGCUCGCACGCAGCUCCUCGGCUAUGGGUAAUCUACAAUCAGCGCACCUGGGGCUGAUGAGGGCCGACACGAUAAAGACCAGCAGACCUGAAGAGCCAGUGCCAGAACUCUCCAUUGAUCGAGCGGUGCGCCUCGCUUCAUUGGACUUCCCUCCGGAUUUUUGGACUGUUUCCCUGGAUCCUUGACCCCCGCUUGGACACGUACCUCGACGCCUCUCUCCAGCCCCCGACCUCUCGCUUGAUUACGGACAUCCUUCUUGCCUUGCUCCACAUUUACAUGAUUAAUUCCUCACAUCGUUUUGCACCAUACACUCUUGGUAGCAUACACACCCCAACACAUCAUUAAGUUCAAUAAACCUGCCGAGCUUAUUCCUGCCGUUAUGUCGUCUCCUUCCCCCAGUGAACCUAACGGUCUCAUUCGGUAAAACAUUUUUAAAUUCCAUUCCAUUUUUUUAAGGUGGUCUCUCAUAAUGUUGUUCUCUAAAAAACGUCCCCCCACCUUGAGUCAAAAUAAUUGCCCAGGCCUGUACUAAUGACAUGUGUGCUGCCCCCUUGGGGUUGUGCUUAUAAUGCUUUGGAAGAUGCAUUUAUUACACUCCAAGUUUUGGAAUCAUUACACAAUGAGAGCGGCCCAUUCUUUCACAAACGUUUGUAGAAACAGUCUCCAUGCCUAAGUGCUUGAUUUGAUACACCUGUGAUUAGGACACCUGGUUAUCAUCAUUCGGAUGGCUGGACAAAUACUUUUGCCAAUGCAGUGUAUUUAACUUGCAUAACUUCUGAGUAAAAAUGUAUGUGUACUGUCUAGUUGUACUCCCCACAGCUGGCUUCGGCACAUGAACCACUCACAACAUCAGGGCUGCUUACGUUAAAUUGAUUAUUGUGUCUUUUUUUUUUUUUUCAAUCAAGCAGUCACUUUAGAUCAGGGGUCUCAAACUCUUAUAUUGUA